rnacentral:misc_RNA from 1 species
GAUGAAGAACGCAGCGAAAUGCGAUAAGUAGUGUGAAUUGCAGAAUUCAGUGAAUCAUCGAAUCUUUGAACGCACAUUGCGCCCCUUGGUAUUCCAUGGGGCAUGCCUGUUCGAGCGUCAUUUGUACCUUCAAGCUCUGCUUGGUGUUGGGUGUUUGUCUCGCCUCUGCGUGUAGACUCGCCUCAAAACAAUUGGCAGCCGGCGUAUUGAUUUCGGAGCGCAGUACAUCUCGCGCUUUGCACUCAUAACGACGACGUCCAAAAGUACAUUUUUACACUCUUGACCUCGGAUCAGGUAGGGAUACCCGCUGAACUUAAGCAUACAAUAAGCGGAGGA